rnacentral:rRNA from 1 species
UACGUAGGGUGCAAGCGUUAAUCGGAAUUACUGGGCGUAAAGCGUGCGCAGGCGGUUUUGUAAGUCUGACGUGAAAUCCCCGGGCUCAACCUGGGAAUUGCGUUGGAGACUGCAAGGCUAGAAUCUGGCAGAGGGGGGUAGAAUUCCACGUGUAGCAGUGAAAUGCGUAGAGAUGUGGAGGAACACCGAUGGCGAAGGCAACCCCCUGGGUCAAGAUUGACGCUCAUGCACGAAAGCGUGGGGAGCAAACAGG